rnacentral:rRNA from 1 species
UGGGGAAUAUUGGACAAUGGGGGAGACCCUGAUCCAGCGAUGCCGCGUGAGUGAAGAAGGCCUUCGGGUCGUAAAGCUCUUUAGGUUGGGAAGAAGGUAGUGUGCUGAAUGCUACUUGACGGUACUGACAGAAUAAGCACCGGCAAACUCUGUGCCAGCAGCCGCGGUAAUACAGAGGGUGCGAGCGUUAAUCGGAGUUACUGGGCGUAAAGGGCGCGUAGGCGGUGAGAUGAGUGUGAUGUGAAAGCCCCGGGCUUAACCUGGGAAGCGCAUCGCAAACUAUCUGACUGGAGUAUAUGAGAGGGUGGCGGAAUUUCCGGUGUAGCGGUGAAAUGCGUAGAGAUCGGAAGGAACGUCGAUGGCGAAGGCAGCCACCUGGCAUAAUACUGACGCUGAGGCGCGAAAGCGUGGGGAGCGAACAG